UACGGGGGGAGCAAGCGUUGUUCGGAUUUACUGGGCGUAAAGGGCGCGUAGGCGGCCACCGCAAGUCGGUUGUGAAAUCUCCGGGCUUAACCCGGAAAGGUCAAUCGAUACUACGGGGCUAGAGUGCAGAAGGGGCAACUGGAAUUCUCGGUGUAGCGGUGAAAUGCGUAGAUAUCGAGAGGAACACCUGCGGCGAAGGCGGGUUGCUGGGCUGACACUGACGCUGAAGCGCGAAAGCUAGGGGAGCGAACGGG
rnacentral:rRNA from 1 species